ACUCCCACGGGAGGCAGCAGUGGGGAAUAUUGCACAAUGGGCGCAAGCCUGAUGCAGCCAUGCCGCGUGUGUGAAGAAGGCCUUCGGGUUGUAAAGCACUUUCAGUCGUGAGGAAGGUGGUAGUGUUAAUAGCACUAUCAUUUGACGUUAGCGACAGAAGAAGCACCGGCUAACUCCGUGCCAGCAGCCGCGGUAAUACGGAGGGUGCAAGCGUUAAAUCGGAAUUACUGGGCGUAAAGCGCAUGCAGGUGGUUUGUUAAGUCAGAUGUGAAAAGCCCGGGGCUCAACCUCGGAAUUGCAUUUGAAACUGGCAGACUAGAGUACUGUAGAGGGGGGUAGAAUUUCAGGUGUAGCGGUGAAAUGCGUAGAGAUCUGAAGGAAUACCGGUGGCGAAGGCGGCCCCCUGGACAGAUACUGACACUCAGAUGCGAAAGCGUGGGGAGC
rnacentral:rRNA from 1 species